rnacentral:rRNA from 1 species
UACGUAGGGUGCGAGCGUUAAUCGGAAUUACUGGGCGUAAAGCGUGCGCAGGCGGUUCGUUAAGUUCGUUGUGAAAGCCCCGGGCUCAACCUGGGAAUGGCAAUGGAAACUGGCGGGCUGGAGUGUGGCAGAGGGGGGUGGAAUUCCGCGUGUAGCAGUGAAAUGCGUAGAGAUGCGGAGGAACACCGAUGGCGAAGGCAGCCCCCUGGGCCGACACUGACGCUCAGGCACGAAAGCGUGGGGAGCAAACAGG